UACGUAGGUGGCAAGCGUUGUCCGGAAUUACUGGGCGUAAAGGGCUCGUAGGCGGCCAACUAAGUCGGAUGUGAAAUCCCCAAGCUUAACUUGGGAACUGCAUCCGAUACUGGAUGGCUUGAAUCCGGGAGAGGGAUGCAGAAUUCCAGGUGUAGCGGUGAAAUGCGUAGAUAUCUGGAGGAAUACCGGUGGCGAAGGCGGCAUCCUGGACCGGCAUUGACGCUGAGGAGCGAAAGCUAGGGGAGCAAACGGG
rnacentral:rRNA from 1 species